AUACUUACCUGGCAGGGGAGAUACCAUGAUCUCAAAGAUGAUUUUCCCAGGGAAAGGCUUAUGAUCCAUUGCACUCCAGAUGUGCUGACCCCUGCGACUUCCCCAGCUAUAGGAAACUGCACAAUUGGUGGUAGUUGGGGACUGAAUUAGUGCUUUCCCCUG